UACAGAGGGGGCAAGCGUUGUUCGGAAUUACUGGGCGUAAAGGGCGCGUAGGCGGCCUGUUAAGUCGAACGUGAAAUCCCCGGGCUCAACCCGGGAACUGCGUCCGAUACUGGCAGGCUUGAAUCCGGGAGAGGGAUGCGGAAUUCCAGGUGUAGCGGUGAAAUGCGUAGAGAUCGGGAAGAACAUCGGUGGCGAAGGCGGCGAGCUGGCCUGUACCUGACGCUGAGGCGCGACAGCGUGGGGAGCAAACAGG
rnacentral:rRNA from 1 species